UAUUAUCUUUUGAAAAUAGUAAAGUAUAACCAGAGUUUACAAAUGGGUAGCUUAAAGGACAUGUAACCUGCAGAUAAAUAAAUACCCGUGUGUGUAUUUUUGCAUUGCUUUAUCACAGAUGAUCAAGUUAGAUGCUCACCUACUGUGUUGCUGAGUCAUCAAGGAUCCAGCUUGUUCUUGAAACAUUGAAGUUUGCACUCUGCAAGUGAACGACGCCUUGUGGUGCCAUCCCACAGUUCAAAAUCACUCUCAUGAUCCAUCUCCUAGACUGCGCCCAGCUGGUGGAAUGACCUCCCAAUCUCAGUUCGUAC